AGUGAACGCUGGCGGUAGGCCUAACACAUGCAAGUCGAACGGCAGCACAGUAAGAGCUUGCUCUUACGGGUGGCGAGUGGCGGACGGGUGAGGAAUACAUCGGAAUCUACUUUUUCGUGGGGGAUAACGUAGGGAAACUUACGCUAAUACCGCAUACGACCUACGGGUGAAAGCAGGGGAUCUUCGGACCUUGCGCGAUUGAAUGAGCCGAUGUCGGAUUAGCUAGUUGGCGGGGUAAAGGCCCACCAAGGCGACGAUCCGUAGCUGGUGUGAGAGGAUGAUCAGCCACACUGGAACUGGGACACGGUCAAGACUCCUACGGGAGGCAGCAGUGGGGAAUAUUGGACAAUGGGCGCAAGCCUGAUCCAGCCAUACCGCGUGGGUGAAGAAGGCCUUCGGGUUGUAAAGCCCUUUUGUUGGGAAAGAAAAGCAGCAGGUUAAUACCCCGCUGUUCUGACGGUACCCAAAGAAUAAGCACCGGCUAACUUCGUG
rnacentral:rRNA from 1 species